GGGAGGGCUGUCCCUGCCCCUCACUAGACACUGUGGCUGGAGAACUAGCCCCAACCCUCACAGGAGAGCUGGCCCCAAUGUCCCAUGGCCCCCCAAACUCAGGAGAGAUGAUCCCACCCCUCACCAUGGGCAUGGAAGAACUGGAUUUGAUGGCAUGGUGUAGGAGAGCUGGCUUUGCCCUUCACCUGAGGAGGGUGGAGCCAGCUGCCUAGACUGACCAGCUCAGCUAUCAUCUAAGCCCACAUCCAAGGCCUUGGGUUGGCCCAUCCUAGCAUUCACUCCAUCUCUGACCUGCUGGAGCAUGUGAAGGGACUGGCCCUAUGGAAUGAUACCCACAGGAUCUCCAUGACUCUGGCUGGUGCAGGAUGUCGGAGAGAAGUUUUGGUGAGGAUCCAGUUAUGAUGGUGCACCAGAAACCAGAGUCCUUGAACUGGACCAAUGACUCAUUGCAAUGAACAUUUGCAGGUGCAGCUGAUUGAACAAAAGGGGGAGUGUGAGAGCCAGCCUGGAAACAUCUUGAUGGACAGCCCCAAUGGGGUUUAUUAAGCUUUCCUCCUCCAUGAUCCUGCCUCAAGUCUCAGAAAUUCCCAAUUCCCAAUAAAAUUGUUCUCUUUCUUAAA